UCUAAUGUGGCAGAAUAGUGUAAUGAACUUAAAAUUCAUAAAUGAAAUUUUUUUUCUUUUAGAA
rnacentral:tRNA from 1 species